rnacentral:tRNA from 1 species
UUAAUUGAAGCCAAACUAGAGGCCUUCUAUUGUUAAUAGAAUAAUUGAUUUAUAAUAAUCCAAUUAAA